rnacentral:pre_miRNA from 1 species
AAUAUACUCCCUCCGUUCGGAAUUACUUGUCUCGGAAAUGGAUGUACCUAGAACUAAAAUACGUCUAGAUACAUCCAUUUCCGAGACAAGUAAUUCCGAACGGAGGGAGUAGGUC